CAUUAACCCCCUUCCCAACUCUUACGUUACCAACCCUAACCCACUCCAAAUCUCCAACGGCGCAGCAGCGCACCCUCCCUCGUCCCUCCCAUCACCCUCGAGCUAGCCGUUCCUCUCAAUGCCAGCAAGCUCAGCCCCUCCCUUACGUGCAGCCACAGUCCUGCCGGCGCUAGCUUUGUUCCACCGCAGCCACUGUCCCGUUCGAAGGUGCUCCUUGUCUCGGUGUCUCCCUCUUUCGUGCUCUGUUCAAGGCUUCUAGCUUCGAAGGUGCUCUCUUUCGCCGCCGUCGCGCUCCCAUAGAGGAAGAAUCAUCGCAGGCGCUGCCAUUUCCUCCUCAUCUCGGUCAAGCCGUCAUCCACUUCUCAGCUGCGCCGCUGUCUACUUCUCAGUCGUCCUACUCACCGCGGUCCUUGUCGUCCGCGACACUCAGUCACGCCACGUCUUCCAUCUUAGGGUGGCAGGUUAGAUUUAGGUGGCGAUAGCUUUGAGCCUGCAGCUAUGGAAGAACGAGAUUUCUAAACUUCUAGUUUGUGUUAAAUGAUGUGGAUUGUACAGCUGCUACUUCGAGGAACCUUCAUUCUUUUUUUUUGGUGAUGAAACCUUUGAUUCUUUUUCUUUGUUGCUUGGAUAAAUUUAAACCAGAGUUGGAAAUGGUUUGAUAUUUUUUGGAUAUAAUUGCUUUAUUGAUUAAUGUCAUCAAAGCAAACAUUUAUA